rnacentral:lncRNA from 1 species
GGACGGUGGAGAGCUUCGUGGAGGACGAGGGGGCCUUCAACUCGACGGUGGACGACCGGUUCGCGGCGCUGGACGGCGACCGGGACGGCAGGCUGUCCUACGCCGACAUGGCCGGUGAGCUGAUGAGCCUCCGCGUGCUGGAGACCCACUUCGGCGUCGACGGCGCCGCCGCCACGGACGCCGAGCUCGUCGACCUGUACCGCGGCCUGUUCGCCCGGUUCGACCGCGACGGCGACGGCGCCGUCGACCGUGAGGAGUUCCGCGCCGAGAUGAAGGAGGUGAUGCUCGCCGUCGCCAGCGGCCUCGGCUUCCUCCCCGUUCAGAUGGUCGUCGAGGAAGGCAGCUUCCUCAAGAGGGCCGUCGAGAGGGAGCUCGCCAAAGCUGCCUGAUCAUCGCC